GAUGAACGCUGGCGGCGUGCCUAAUACAUGCAAGUCGAGCGAACGGACGAGAAGCUUGCUUCUCUGAUGUUAGCGGCGGACGGGUGAGUAACACGUGGAUAACCUACCUAUAAGACUGGGAUAACUUCGGGAAACCGGAGCUAAUACCGGAUAAUAUUUUGAACCGCAUGGUUCAAAAGUGAAAGACGGUCUUGCUGUCACUUAUAGAUGGAUCCGCGCUGCAUUAGCUAGUUGGUAAGGUAACGGCUUACCAAGGCAACGAUGCAUAGCCGACCUGAGAGGGUGAUCGGCCACACUGGAACUGAGACACGGUCCAGACUCCUACGGGAGGCAGCAGCAGGGAAUCUUCCGCAAUGGGCGAAAGCCUGACGGAGCAACGCCGCGUGAGUGAUGAAGGUCUUCGGAUCGUAAAACUCUGUUAUUAGGGAAGAACAUAUGUGUAAGUAACUGUGCACAUCUUGACGGUACCUAAUCAGAAAGCCACGGCUAACUACGUGCCAGCAGCCGCGGUAAUACGUAGGUGGCAAGCGUUAUCCGGAAUUAUUGGGCGUAAAGCGCGCGUAGGCGGUUUUUUAAGUCUGAUGUGAAAGCCCACGGCUCUUUCGUGGAGGGUCAUUGGAAACUGGAAAACUUGAGUGCAGAAGAGGAAAGUGGAAUUCCAUGUGUAGCGGUGAAAUGCGCAGAGAUAUGGAGGAACACCAGUGGCGAAGGCGACUUUCUGGUCUGUAACUGACGCUGAUGUGCGAAAGCGUGGGGAUCAAACAGGAUUAGAUACCCUGGUAGUCCACGCCGUAAACGAUGAGUGCUAAGUGUUAGGGGGUUUCCGCCCCUUAGUGCUGCAGCUAACGCAUUAAGCACUCCGCCUGGGGAGUACGACCGCAAGGUUGAAACUCAAAGGAAUUGACGGGGACCCGCACAAGCGGUGGAGCAUGUGGUUUAAUUCGAAGCAACGCGAGGAACCUUACCAAAUCUUGACAUCCUUUGACAACUCUAGAGAUAGAGCCUUCCCCUUCGGGGGACAAAGUGACAGGUGGUGCAUGGUUGUCGUCAGCUCGUGUCGUGAGAUGUUGGGUUAAGUCCCGCAACGAGCGCAACCCUUAAGCUUAGUUGCCAUCAUUAAGUUGGGCACUCUAAGUUGACUGCCGGUGACAAACCGGAGGAAGGUGGGGAUGACGUCAAAUCAUCAUGCCCCUUAUGAUUUGGGCUACACACGUGCUACAAUGGACAAUACAAAGGGCAGCGAAACCGCGAGGUCAAGCAAAUCCCAUAAAGUUGUUCUCAGUUCGGAUUGUAGUCUGCAACUCGACUACAUGAAGCUGGAAUCGCUAGUAAUCGUAGAUCAGCAUGCUACGGUGAAUACGUUCCCGGGUCU
rnacentral:rRNA from 1 species